rnacentral:rRNA from 1 species
UGGCGAACGGGUGAGUAACACGUGGGCAACCUGCCCAAANAGGGGGAUAACACUUGGAAACAGGUGCUAAUACCGCAUAACCAUAGUUACCGCAUGGUAACUAUGUAAAAGGUGGCUAUACUACCGCUUUUGGAUGGGCCCGCGGCGCAUUAGCUAGUUGGUAGGGUAAAGGCUUACCAAGGCAAUGAUGCGUAGCCGAAUUGAGAGGUUGAUCGGCCACAUUGGGACUGAGACACGGCCCAAACUCCUACGGGAGGCAGCAG